rnacentral:rRNA from 1 species
AUACCUAGCGGCAGACGGGUGCGUAACAUGUGGGAAUCUGCCUUUUGGUUCGGAACAACACGGGGAAACCUGUGCUAAUACCGGAUAAGUCCUUACGGAGAAAGUUUUAAUGCCAAAAGAUGAGCCCGCAUUUGAUUAGCUAGUUGGUGAGGUAAAAGCUCACCAAGGCGAUAAUCAAUAGCUGAUUUGGGAGGAUGAUCAGCCACACUGGGACUGAGAUACGGCCCAGACUCCUACGGGAGGCAGCAGUGGGGAAUCUUGCACAAUGGGCGAAAGCCUGAUGCAGCGAUGCCGCGUGAGUGAAGAAGGCCUUUGGGUUGUAAAGCUCUUUUGUCGGGAAAGAUAAUGACUGUACCCGAAGAAUAAGGUCCGGCUAACUUCGUGCCAGCAGCCGCGGUAAUACGAAGGGACCUAGCGUAGUUCGGAAUUACUGGGCGUAAAGAGUAUGUAGGCGGCUAGAUAAGUUAAUUGUGAAAGCCCAAAGCUUAACUUUGGAAUUGCAAUUAAAACUAUUUAGCUGGAGUAUGAUAGAGGAAAGCGGAAUACAUAGUGUAGAGGUGAAAUUCGUAGAUAUUAUGUAGAACACCAGUUGCGAAGGCGGCUUUCUGGAUCAUUACUGACGCUGAGAUACGAAAGUAUGGGUAGCGAAGAGGAUUAGAUACCCUCGUAGUCCAUACCAUAAACGAUGAUUAUUAGAUGUGGGGAAUUAUUUCUCUGUAUCAUAGCUAACGCGUUAAAUAAUCCGCCUGGGGAGUACGACCGCAAGGUUAAAACUCAAAUGAAUUGACGGGGACCCGCANCAGCGGUGGAG